GACGAACGCUGGCGGCGUGCCUAAUACAUGCAAGUAGAACGCUGAAGGAGGAGCUUGCUUCUCUGGAUGAGUUGCGCACGGGUGAGUAACGCGUAGGUAACCUGCCUGGUAGCGGGGGAUAACUAUUGGAAACGAUAGCUAAUACCGCAUAAUAGUAGAUGUUGCAUGACAUUUGCUUAAAAGGUGCAAUUGCAUCACUACCAGAUGGACCUGCGUUGUAUUAGCUAGUUGGUGAGGUAACGGCUCACCAAGGCAACGAUACAUAGCCGACCUGAGAGGGUGAUCGGCCACACUGGGACUGAGACACGGCCCAGACUCCUACGGGAGGCAGCAGUAGGGAAUCUUCGGCAAUGGACGGAAGUCUGACCGAGCAACGCCGCGUGAGUGAAGAAGGUUUUCGGAUCGUAAAGCUCUGUUGUAAGAGAAGAACGAGUGUGAGAGUGGAAAGUUCACACUGUGACGGUAUCUUACCAGAAAGAGACGGCUAACUACGUG
rnacentral:rRNA from 1 species